AACAGUGUGGUGUAGUGGUUUGGGCACUGGCCUAUGACUCUGGAGACCAGGGUUCAAGUCUCUGCUCAGCCA